rnacentral:sRNA from 1 species
UGUAUUGAACACGGAGAGCGUUGUACGA